CAGUCGCCGCGGUAAUACAGAGGGUGCAAGCGUUAAUCGGAAUUACUGGGCGCAAAGCGCGCGUAGGUGGUUUGUUAAGUUGGAUGUGAAAUCCCCGGGCUCAACCUGGGAACUGCAUCCAAAACUGGCAAGCUAGAGUAUGGUAGAGGGUGGUGGAAUUUCCUGUGUAGCGGUGAAAUGCGUAGAUAUAGGAAGGAACACCAGUGGCGAAGGCGACCACCUGGACUGAUACUGACACUGAGGUGCGAAAGCGUGGGGAGCAAACAGGAUUAGAUACCCCGGUAGUCCCUGUCUCUUAUAC
rnacentral:rRNA from 1 species